UACGAAGGGGGCUAGCGUUGUUCGGAAUUACUGGGCGUAAAGCGCGCGCAAGCGGUUUUCCAAGUCAGUGGUGAAAGCCCGGAGCUCAACUCCGGAACUGCCAUUGAAACUGGCGAACUUGAGUACGAGAGAGGUGAGUGGAAUUCCCAGUGUAGAGGUGAAAUUCGUAGAUAUUGGGAAGAACACCGGUGGCGAAGGCGGCUCACUGGCUCGUAACUGACGCUCAGGCGCGACAGCGUGGGGAUCAAACAGG
rnacentral:rRNA from 1 species